rnacentral:misc_RNA from 1 species
GCAAACUUGGUCAUUUAGAGGAAGUAAAAGUCAUAACAAGGUUUCUGUAGGUGAACCUGCAGAAGGAUCAUUAGUGAAUUUUAAAAGGGGAACCCACUCGCUGGGCCCCAACCAAAUCUCACCAUAUCCACACACCUGUGAACUGUCGGAACGCGUGGAACAAGAGACGAAUUUAAUUUCUGUUUCCAACCACGUGUACGGCAACCCCUUUUAUUACACACCCUGAGUAACGUGAAUGUAGUUGUACAAUCAUGCUUCUGAAGCAGAAUGAAAAUACAACUUUCGACAACGGAUCUCUUGGUUCUCCCAUCGAUGAAGAACGCAGC